rnacentral:rRNA from 1 species
UACGGGGGGGGCAAGCGGUUGUUCGGAAUUACUGGGCGUAAAGCGCGUGUAGGCGGUUGCCCAAGUCGGGUGUGAAAGCCUUGAGCUCAACUCAAGAAAUGCACUCGGUACUGGGUGACUAGAGGACCGGAGAGGAUAGUGGAAUUCCCAGUGUAGUGGUGAAAUACGUAGAGAUUGGGAAGAACACCAGUGGCGAAGGCGGCUAUCUGGACGGUUUCUGACGCUAAGACGCGAAAGCGUGGGGAGCAAACAGG